rnacentral:rRNA from 1 species
GAUGAACGCUGGCGGCGUGCUUAACACAUGCAAGUCGAACGAUUAAAGCCCCUUCGGGGGUGUAUAGAGUGGCGAACGGGUGAGUAACACGUGGGCAAUCUGCCCCUCACUUCGGGAUAACUCAGGGAAACUUGAGCUAAUACCGGAUACUCCGGGAAGGUCGCAUGGCCAACCCGGGAAAGCUCCGACGGUGAGGGAUGAGCCCGCGGCCCAUUAGCUUGUUGGUGAGGUAACGGCUCACCAAGGCGACGAUGGGUAGCCGAGCUGAGAGGCUGAUCGGCCACACUGGGACUGAUACACGGCCCAGACUCCUACGGGAGGCAGCAGUGGGGAAUUUUGCGCAAUGGGCGAAAGCCUGACGCAGCAACGCCGCGUGCGGGAUGAAGGCCUUCGGGUUGUAAACCGCUUUCAGCAGGGAUGAAACUGACAGUACCUGCAGAAGAAGCCCCGGCUAACUACGUGCCAGCCGCCGCAGUAAGAC